rnacentral:rRNA from 1 species
GUACCAGACUCCUACGGGAGGCAGCAGUGGGGAAUAUUGCACAAUGGGGGGAACCCUGAUGCAGCGACGCCGCGUGGGUGAAGGAGCACCUCGGUGCGUAAAGCCCUAUCGGCAGGGAAGAAACAGACGGUACCUGACUAAGAAGCCCCGGCUAACUACGUGCCAGCAGCCGCGGUAAUACGUAGGGGGCAAGCGUUAUCCGGAUUUACUGGGGGUAAAGGGAGCGUAGACGGCGGUGCAAGCCAGAUGUGAAAGCCCGGGGCUCAACCCCGGGACUGCAUUUGGAACUGUGCUGCUAGAGUGUCGGAGAGGCAGGCGGAAUUCCUAGUGUAGCGGUGAAAUGCGUAGAUAUCGGGAGGAACACCGGUGGCGAAGGCGGCCUGCUGGACUGCAACUGGCGUUGAGGCCCGAAAGCGUGGGGAGCAAACAGGAUUAGAUACCCCUGUACC